CAGCCGUAAACGAUGUGCGUUAGGUGUAUCGACGACCACGAGUCGUCGAGGUGCCGAAGGGAAACCGUGAAACGUACCGCCUGGGAAGUACGGUCGCAAGGCUGAAACUUAAAGGAAUUGGCGGGGGAGCACCACAACAGGUGGAGCCUGCGGUUUAAUUGGACUCAACGCCGGACAUCUCACCGGAUAAGACAGCUGAAUGAUUGCCGGGCUGAAGACUCUGCAUGACUAGCUGAGAGGAGGUGCAUGGCGUAGACGUCU
rnacentral:rRNA from 1 species